rnacentral:lncRNA from 1 species
CCAAUAAAUCAUGAACUUUUAACUUCCAAAGUUCAAAGUUUCUCUUUCCAUCAAAUUUGUCCACUUCCAAUCGAUUUGUUGCCAUUGAGACAAUUUAUCGAACACCUUGCACUCAACCUUGAAGCUCUGAUACCAAUUGUAGUGAGCUAAUGACGGAACCCUCACUAUCAAGAUACUAAUCACACUAGUAAGCAAAUGUGAUGUAUCUAAAUUAUCCACAACCAAGAUAUGCAAGAUUGGAGUAAAUAAAGUUGAAAGAGAAAAAUCCAAGCACAAGCACAACAACAACACAAGAUUUACGUGGUUCACCCAAACCGGGCUACAUCCACGGGCACGGAGAGAUCAAAUCCACUAUCAAAUGAGGAGAUUACAAGAUUUGGUUAGAGAUUACCACUCUAUCAUAAUGGGCUUACAACCUUGCAAUGGAAAUCCCUUCUUGCUACACCUUCUUUGAAGCACCUUCCGAUUCUGCGAAUCCCGCUUCGGAAUACCUCUUAGAAUUCCUCCAAUCUACCUUGGAAGUCUUUGAAUCAAGCAAGAAGAACAAGGGAGCUCCUUCUCCAACCCUCUCUACACCUCUCUUCUCUAUUACAAGAAAAGGGAAAACCUAGAGAGCAAAAAAUGAGAAUUCACUCUCUCUAACCCAAAGAGUUCUCUCUUAACACCACUUGGCCCAACAUACCAAAUGGGUCAACUAAAGCCCAAACCAAAUACUAACUAGCCCAUUACAUGAGUUGUUGAACCAAACUCAAAAUAAAACCAAUUAGGCUAAUAAGUGAAUUUGAUAUCACUAACCCAACAGAUUUUACUGAGAUGCAAAGAGUUGAGGGUAAUCGGCGCCAAGGGAAGAGGCGGAGAGGUUUGAGCAAAUUAAUAUUAUUAUUAUUGUUAUUAUAUUUAGGAUAAACUUCAAAUAUCACCCCCGUGGUUUCGCAAGUUCUCACUUUAGUACCCUGUGAUUUAAAGUGUAUCAAGUUAGUGUCAUGUGGUUUUAUUUUUAUCUUUUCGUCAGCUUUUCCGUUAAUAUUUUAUUAAAUUAUAUACAAAAAAACUUGAGAUACCCCACAUAGAUUUAUCGAAUAUUCGCUUUAAUACUCUUUAGUUUUAACUUUGUCACUGAUUUAACGAAAAAAAUUAGUAGAAUUGAUAAUAAAAAAAUAAAAAUAAAAUCACAGGACACUAAAUUCAUACACUUUAAACCACUGGGUACUAAAGUAAGAAAGUGUGAAACCACAGGGGUGGUAUUUCAAGUUUUUUCUUAUAUUUAUUAGUAUUAAGGAUUAAUUUCGUACAUAUUCCUGCAAAGGUGUGAAAUAGUAAAUAUAUCCAUACAAAACUUAAGUUAUUAAAUUUAUUUCUUUAAAAAUUUUCUGAUUUGCAAAUAUAUUUUUUCAAAAGUUCUAGUUCAUUCGGAUAUGUCCCCGCCAUUUGAUUUGCCAUUAAUUUUUUUUAAAGAUGGGUGCAUAAAAUUACCAUUUUACUCUUAUAAAUUUGUCCCUAUAAAAAAUUAUUUUUCUUUCUCUCUCUCUCUCUCUCCUAGCCUUUGCCGCAGCAUGUGUGGCAUACCUCAUUUUUGCCGCGACUGAGAAUCUCACCUUCGACGUUGCCGCUGUUGUAGGUUUUACUGUUGCCAUAGAUAAAAAGGAGAGGGUGAGACAGAUGACGAAAAUUUAACAUUAGAAUACAAAUUAUAUAUAU